rnacentral:lncRNA from 1 species
AUUAGAGAAAAUUGCAAGGGAUGUCCUCGCUGUUCCUGUUUCCACAGUGGCAUCUGAAUCUGCCUUUAGCACAGGGCGUCGCGUCAUUGACGAAUAUCGGAGUUCUUUGACCCCUUGUAUGGUUGAGGCAUUGAUAUGUACCGAAAAUUGGUUACAAGCUAAACUUUUUGCUAAUCCUGUCUAUAACCUUCAGGAAGAUAUUAAAGAGCAGAUAUUCCAUAUGGAGCUACAAGAAGGUAAUAUUUUUCUCAUAUUUUAUAAAUUUAAGAUGUAUUAUAACUUUAUAAAUAGCAUCUACAUGUACUUAAGUUACUUACUAAUUUCAUUUUUUUUUAACAUUUUAAAGAGUUUGUAAGAUCACAAGCUUCAACGGUGGAAACAGUGAGCGCUGAUAUGGGUGUUAUGGAUAUUUGAAAGGUAAUUCUUAAUAUAUAUUAUUAUUUAUAAUUUCAUAUUAUAUGUUUAGGUUGUAAUUUACACUAUAAUAAUAGAUAAUAGUUGUUAUAGUUUUAAUUUAUAAUUGUUUCAUUUAUUUUAGACACAUUGAAAUUGUUGGAAUGGUAUUACCUAGGAAUUAAGAUUAUUAUUAAAUUUACUUGAUGAUGAAUGCCAUGAAAUAAGCCACAAUUGACUUAAUUUUUUUUCUUAUAUUUAAUCAAGUACACACAUGAAUUGGGCAUAUGUGUUUGUGUUUAAUGUCCCUUUAUUUGUCAUGUGGCUUAAAGAAAGUAGUUAAAUGAUUAUCUAUUAUUUUUUCAAUUUUUUCCUAGGGGAUAUAUGCUUCAAUUCUUCGACUUCUGCUGUACGGCCAAGGCGGAUGUACGGUACAGCAGUAUAUGCAUGUGCGUUGUUGUGCACAUAUUUUGAACUUGAUUGUUGUUUCGGGGUUGAAUGAAUUGCAUGCUAGUGUUGCCGCCAUCCGGAAUGCUGUGAAGUAUGUGAGAUCCUCCACAACGAGGCUACAGGCAUUUAAACAGUGUGCUCAACAAGUGAAAUGUCCAAAUGGAACGGUUGUUUUAGAUUGUCCUACUAGGUGGAAUUCCACCUAUUUAAUGUUGAUGACUGCGUUGAAGUUUCAAGCAGCAUUUGAUAGAAUGGCAGAGGUGGAUAAACCGUAUGAGGCAUAUUUUCUCGAGAAAGAAAAUAACAUUAAGAGGGUGGGCCCACCUGGACCUGAGGAUUGGGAGAGUGCAGGGCGAAUUGUAAAGUUUUUAAAGGUAUUUUAUGAUGCCACAUUGUUAUUUUCUGCUUCUUUGAGUGUGACUUCUAAUCUUUGUUAUGAUACCAUUGGCUUAAUUGAGAGCUCAUUGACUGCAUUAGAGGGAAGUAGAGAUCCUUGGGUGGUGGCUAUGGCUUAUCAAAUGAGGGCAAAAUUUGAUAAAUAUUGGGAGUCUUCAGGGAAGAUAAAUAAAAUGUUGAUUGUUGCCUCUAUUCUUGAUCCACGAGCUAAAAUGGACUUUGCCAAACAUAUUUUUGGGAUAAUUUUUGCCAAUGAUAGUUGGAAAGUUGAAGAAAUGACCAAAGCAGUGAAAGAUUUGUUGAAUGAGCUUUAUGAUGCAUAUAGUGCAAUGUGCUCUAGUUCCACACCAUCGAUGUGUAGUGAGAGUGUUCCUAGCGGCAGCUAUGGUGGUACAAGUUAUUCUCCUUAUUUUACAACUGAGGUUGGUUUGCCGGAGGGUCCUAGUGGUGAUAGUGAUGACAUUUUCCGAGUUUCUCGCCCUUUCUUUGAGUAUGCUCAGAAAGUGUUUGUUCAGAAUGAGGGCAAGAGAGUAGUAUUUGAGGUGGAACGAUAUUUGAGUGACCCAGUUGAAGAUCCAAGCAAUCUUAAGCUCAAUGUUUUGCUUUGGUGGAAGGUUAAUGGAUCGAAGUAUCUGAUAUUAGAGAAAAUUGCAAGGGAUGUCUUCGCUGUUCUUGUUUCCACAGUGGCAUCUGAAUCUGCCUUUAGCACAGGGCGUCGCGUCAUUGACGAAUAUCGGAGUUCUUUGACCCCUUGUAUGGUUGAGGCAUUGAUAUGUACCGAAAAUUGGUUACAAGCUAAACUUUUUGCUAAUCCUGUCUAUAACCUUCAGGAAGAUAUUAAAGAGCAG